CGACGUCUACGAGAGGUUAGUUGUAUAUGGCUCAGGACGAACGCUGGCGGCGUGCUUCAUACAUGCAAGUCGAACGAGAAUCUGGCUUCGGUCAGAGGAAAGUGGCGGACGGGUGAGUAAUGUGUAGAGAAUCUGCCCUUUAGUGGGGGACAACAGUUGGAAACGACUGCUAAUACCCCAUAUGCGCGUACUUGGAAUAGUAUUCGUGAAAACUCCGGUGCUAAAGGAUGAGUCUGCAUCUGAUUAGCUAGUUGGCGGUGUAAUGGACCACCAAGGCGACGAUCAGUAGCUGGUUUGAGAGGAUGAUCAGCCACAAUGGGACUGAGACACGGCCCAUACUCCUACGGGAGGCAGCAGUAGGGAAUUUUGCGCAAUGGGGGAAACCCUGAACCGCAGCAACGCCGCGUGAACGAAUAAGCCCUUCGGGGUGUAAAGUUCUGUCAGUAGGGACGAAACUUGACGGUACCUACAGAGGAAGCAUCGGCUAACUCCGUGCCAGCAGCCGC
rnacentral:rRNA from 1 species